UUUUAUGGAGAGUUUGAUCCUGGCUCAGGAUGAACGCUGGCGGCGUGCCUAAUACAUGCAAGUCGAGCGAACGGACGAGAAGCUUGCUUCUCCGAUGUUAGCGGCGGACGGGUGAGUAACACGUGGAUAACCUACCUAUAAGACUGGGAUAACUUCGGGAAACCGGAGCUAAUACCGGAUAAUAUUUUGAACCGCAUGGUUCAAAAGUGAAAGACGGUCUUGCUGUCACUUAUAGAUGGAUCCGCGCUGCAUUAGCUAGUUGGUAAGGUAACGGCUUACCAAGGCAACGAUGCAUAGCCGACCUGAGAGGGUGAUCGGCCACACUGGAACUGAGACACGGUCCAGACUCCUAC
rnacentral:rRNA from 1 species